CUCAUAAUCAGAAUCCCUGAUGUCCUCUGCUUCAUGGGUGGGAUAGACUGCCCGAGAGAAUCCCAGUUUCCUCUAUGGUCAUCCUGUUCACCGACCAGCCGCAUCAGAAUUAGCUGGUGAGAAAACUGAGGCCCAGGGAGCUAGAAGGUGGAGCUUCCAGAACUUAAAUAUGAGCUCUCUUGUUCUAGGUUGGGCAUUUUUCUGCUCCAUCAUGAACUGAGCUGCAAAAAGCCCAGAGGCAAGAUGCCAACACUGAGGAUUCUGGAAGCCACAUUCCAGAAGAAGCUUUUGAAGAAAUUGGAGAUGCUUGGCCUGAAAGAGAGAAGCUUUUAGAGGUGCUCAAGAAAAAAACUUGAGCUAUUGUCAAAUAUCUGAAACCUGUCAGAUGGAAGAGGGAAGAGACUUCCUUAUGGCUGUAGAGGGCAGAUCUAGGACUAAUUGACUGAAAUUGUGUAUGAAGCCAGAGGGUAAAUAUAAAAUCAUGUCUGAAAGAGUGACGAGGCUUGAGCCACAGCACCGUGUCCAGAGAGGUCAACAAAGUGAUGGAACCCAGAGCAAGAGAGAGCCAUCCCAGGUGAUUUACAUAGAAAAUGAAAAAAAUUUCACCAUUCACAUAGUAAACAAAGGCAUUCUCAAUAAACCAGGGGUCCUCCUCUGGGACAACCCAUCAAGUCUUGGUUCAAGUGAAGCUGGCCUCGCUUUGCCAACACUGCCUGAAAUGUUGUGAUCCCAGAACUGACUCUGGUCAAGUUUGAUGAUGAGCUGCAUCACAUUAACUACUGAAUUAUUCAGGAAGCUUCUCUACUCCCUCGCAGAGGAAACCGAGGAGACCAUUGGAAACCAUUGAAAGGAAGCAGAGAUAAUUUGGGAAGCUACGUUUAGUUUCCUUAAGGCUCCCCCUUUGCAGGCUCUCUGGAGAUGGCUGCAAUUAAGCUCCCUGCCCUGCCCCCACCCCAGCAUGAAGGACUCAGUGGGCAGCUGUGGUUUUAUGAGUUUUUCUUGUGCGAACCUCAUUAAACUUCAGAUUCCUCAGGGUAAAAAGCAAAUGGGGAAUGAGAGUUGCCUGCCUGGGAGAUGCUGAGGUUAAACACUGAGCAAUAAAGCCAUUCACUGAUUUCA
rnacentral:lncRNA from 12 species